rnacentral:rRNA from 1 species
AGUGAACGCUGGCGGUAGGCCUAACACAUGCAAGUCGAACGGCAGCACAGUAAGAGCUUGCUCUUACGGGUGGCGAGUGGCGGACGGGUGAGGAAUACAUCGGAAUCUACUUUUUCGUGGGGGAUAACGUAGGGAAACUUACGCUAAUACCGCAUACGACCUACGGGUGAAAGCAGGGGAUCUUCAGACCUUGCGCGAUUGAAUGAGCCGAUGUCGGAUUAGCUAGUUGGCGGGGUAAAGGCCCACCAAGGCGACGAUCCGUAGCUGGUCUGAGAGGAUGAUCAGCCACACUGGAACUUAGACACGGUCCCGACUCCCACGGGAGGGAGGAGGUGGGAAUAUUGGACAAUGGGCGCAAGCCUGAUCCAGCCAUACCGCGUGGGUGAAGAAGGCCUUCGGGUUGUAAAGCCCUUUUGUUGGGAAAGAAAAGCAGCAGGUUAAUACCCCGCUGUUCUGACGGUACCCAAAGAAUAAGCACCGGCUAACUUCGUG